AAGGAAGCUUCGGCCUCCGCAUCGGGAUGGGCCCGCGUCCCAUUAGCUUGUUGGUGGGGUAACGGCCUACCAAGGCUGCGAUGGGUAGCUGGUCUGAGAGGACGAUCAGCCACACUGGGACUGAGACACGGCCCAGACUCCUACGGGAGGCAGCAGUGGGGAAUCUUGCGCAAUGCGCGAAAAGCGUGACGCAGCAAACGCCGCGUGCGGGAUGAAGGCCUUCGGGUUGUAAACCUCUU
rnacentral:rRNA from 1 species